AGUGAACGCUGGCGGUAGGCCUAACACAUGCAAGUCGAACGGCAGCACAGUAAGAGCUUGCUCUUACGGGUGGCGAGUGGCGGACGGGUGAGGAAUACAUCGGAAUCUACUUUUUCGCGGGGGAUAACGUAGGGAAACUUACGCUAAUACCGCAUACGACCUACGGGUGAAAGCAGGGGAUCUUCGGACCUUGCGCGAUUGAAUGAGCCGAUGUCGGAUUAGCUAGUUGGCGGGGUAAAGGCCCACCAAGGCGACGAUCCGUAGCUGGUCUGAGAGGAUGAUCAGCCACACUGGAACUGAGACACGGUCCAGACUCCUACGGGAGGCAGCAGUGGGGAAUAUUGGACAAUGGGCGCAAGCCUGAUCCAGCCAUACCGCGUGGGUGAAGAAGGCCCUCGGGUUGUAAAGCCCUUUUGUUGGGAAAGAAAAGCAGUAGGUUAAUACCCCGCUGUUCUGACGGUACCCAAAGAAUAAGCACCGGCUAACUUCGUG
rnacentral:rRNA from 1 species